UACGUAGGUGGCGAGCGUUGUCCGGAUUUACUGGGCGUAAAGAGCGCGCAGGCGGUCGUACAAGUCGCGUGUGAAAGCCCCCGGCUCAACUGGGGAGGGUCAUUCGAUACUGAUCGACUCGAAGGCAGGAGAGGGUAGUGGAAUUCCCGGUGUAGUGGUGAAAUGCGUAGAUAUCGGGAGGAACACCAGUGGCGAAGGCGGCUCUCUGGGCCUUUCCUGACGCUGAGACGCGAAAGCGUGGGGAGCGAACCGG
rnacentral:rRNA from 1 species